GCGGGCGUGGCGGAAUUGGCAGACGCGCCAGACUUAGGAUCUGGUGUCUACGACGUGGGGGUUCGAGGCCUCUCGCCCGCACCA
rnacentral:tRNA from 1 species